rnacentral:lncRNA from 1 species
AGUUAGAAAAAGCCCGGGCUAGGACCGAGGAGCAGGGUGAGGGAGGGGGUGGGAUGGGUGGGGGGUAACGGGGGAAACUGGGGAAGUGGGGAACCGAGGGGCAACCAGGGGAAGAUGGGGUGCUGGAGGAGAGCUUGUGGGAGCCAAGGAGCACCUUGGACAUCUGGAGUCUGGCAGGAGUGAUGACGGGUGGAGGGGCUAGCUCGGGGCAGGGCUGGUGGGGCCUGAGGCCAGUGAGGAGUGUGGAGUAGGCGCCCAGGCAUCGUGCAGACAGGGCGACAUCAGCUGGGGACGAUGGGCCUGAGCUAGGGCUGGAAAGAAGGGGGAGCCAGGCAUUCAUCCCGGUCACUUUUGGUUACAGGACGUGGCAGCUGGUUGGACGAGGGGAGCUGGUGGGCAGGGUUUGAUCCCAGGGCCUGGGCAACGGAGGUGUAGCUGGCAGCAGCGGGCAGGUGAGGACCCCAUCUGCCGGGCAGGUGAGUCCCUUCCCUCCCCAGGCCUCGCUUCCCCAGCCUUCUGAAAGAAGGAGGUUUAGGGGAUCGAGGGCUGGCGGGGAGAAGCAGACACCCUCCCAGCAGAGGGGCAGGAUGGGGGCAGGAGAGUUAGCAAAGGUGACAUCUUCUCGGGGGGAGCCGAGACUGCGCAAGGCUGGGGGGCUGUGGGCCCGUUCCAGGCAGAAAGAGCAAGAGGGCAGGGAGGGAGCACAGGGGUGGCCAGCGUAGGGUCCAGCACGUGGGGUGGUACCCCAGGCCUGGGUCAGACAGGGACAAGGCAGGGGACACAGGACAGAGGGGUCCCCAGCUGCCACCUCACCCACCGCAAUUCAUUUAGUAGCAGGCACAGGGGCAGCUCCGGCACGGCUUUCUCAGGCCUGUGCCGGAGCCUCGAGGGCUGGAGAGCGGGAAGACAGGCAGUGCUCGGGGAGUUGCAGCAGGACGUCACCAGGAGGGCGAAGCGGCCACGGGAGGGGGGCCCCGGGACAUUGCGCAGCAAGGAGGCUGCAGGGGCUCGGCCUGCGGGCGCCGGUCCCACGAGGCACUGCGGCCCAGGGUCUGGUGCGGAGAGGGCCCACAGUGGACUUGGUGACGCUGUAUGCCCUCACCGCUCAGCCCCUGGGGCUGGCUUGGCAGACAGUACAGCAUCCAGGGGAGUCAAGGGCAUGGGGCGAGACCAGACUAGGCGAGGCGGGCGGGGCGGAGUGAAUGAGCUCUCAGGAGGGAGGCUCGUGCAGGCAGGGGUGAGGAGCGCAGCCGGCGGCGAGCGGGAGGCACUGGCCUCCAGAGCCCGUGGCCAAGGCGGGCCUCGCGGGCGGCGACGGAGCCGGGAUCGGUGCCUCAGCGUUCGGGCUGGAGACGAGGCCAGGUCUCCAGCUGGGGUGGACGUGCCCACCAGCCGCCGAAGGCCAGGACGCCAGGUCCGGUGGACGUGACAAGCAGGACGUGACAUGGUCCGGUGUGACGGCGAGGACAGAGGAGGCGCGUCCGGCCUUCCUGAACACCUUAGGCUGGUGGGGCUGCGGCAAGAAGCGGGUCUGUUUCUUUACUUCCUCCACGGAGUCGGCACACUAUGGCUGCCCUCUGGGCUCCCAGAACCCACAACAUGAAAGAAAUGGUGCUACCCAGCUCAAGCCUGGGCCUUUGAAUCCGGACACAAAACCCUCUAGCUUGGAAAUGAAUAUGCUGCACUUUACAACCACUGCACUACCCGACUCAGGAAUCGGCUCUGGAAGCUAGAGGAACCAGACCUCAUCAGCCCAACAUCAAAGACACCAUCGGAACAGCAGCGCCCGCAGCACCCACCCCGCACCGGCGACUCCAUCUUCAUGGCCACCCCCUGCGGCGGACGGUUGACCACCAGCCACCACAUCAUCCCAGAGCUGAGCUCCUCCAGCGGGAUGACGCCGUCCCCACCACCUCCCUCUUCUUCUUUUUCAUCCUUCUGUCUCUUUGUUUCUGAGCUUUCCUGUCUUUCCUUUUUUCUGAGAGAUUCAAAGCCUCCACGACUCUGUUUCCCCCGUCCCUUCUGAAUUUAAUUUGCACUAAGUCAUUUGCACUGGUUGGAGUUGUGGAGACGGCCUUGAGUCUUGGUGCGAGUGUGUGUGAGUGUGAGCCACCUUGGCAAGUGCCCGCCCAGGGCCCGGCCGCCCUCCAUCUGGGCCGGGUGACUGGGCGCCGGCUGUGUGCCCGAGGCCUCACCCUGCCCUCGCCUAGUCUGGAAGCUCCGACCGACAUCACGGAGCAGCCUUCAAGCAUUCCAUUACACCCAUCUCGCUCUGUGCCCCUCCCCACCAGGGCUUCAGCAGGAGCCCUGGACUCAUCAUCAAUAAACACUGUUACAGCAA